UUACAAAGCAAAUACUUCUCUAAACAAUUUUAACUCUUUUUAAACGUUUUUACGUUCAAACUACCCAGUCAAAAUGAAUCCCUGCUCCUGCAACUGCUGCUCCGGCAACUGCAACAACUGCUCUUGCGGCUCCUGCGGCGUACGUUGAC
rnacentral:sRNA from 16 species